UGAACCGAGGCCAUCUACAGGAGCAGGGGACACCCAAGCAAACCCUCUCACAGGGUCAGUAAAUUACACCGCCGGGACCCCAAGAGGGAGACAUAGAUCCCAUCCUGUGUGCCGCUACCAUGGGUUCCAGGCUCUUCACUUGCCUGGCCCUUUGGCUCCUGAUGACAGGCCCCGUGGACCCUAGAAUUGACCAGACACCAAAGCACCUGGUGACACUCACGGGGAAUGAAAGGACCCUGACCUGUGCGCAGCAUCUAAACCACAAUGCCAUGUACUGGUAUAGGCAAAGUGCUAAGAAGUCCCUGGAGCUCAUGUUUUCCUAUAACUAUCGAGCCCUGGUUGAAAACCAGACUGUCCCGCACCGCUUCCAACCUCACAAUCCAGAGAAAUCCCAAUUAGACCUUCGGAUCUCAGCCCUGGAGCCCGAUGACUCGGCCACUUAUUUCUGUGCUAGCAGCCAAGACACAGCCUUGCAGAGAUCUUGGGCCCCUGUACACAAACCUCCUCAGUCUACCCAGGAAACUGCGGCUGUAGCAGGUCCUCCUGAGCCCCGAGACUCCGUCAGUGGUCCACAGGACUCACGUGGAAACCUCAGACCACAGCACCACCUGACAACUAGAUAUCAUAGUGCCAAAUUCUAUGUCUGCACAGCAGCAGUCUUUGACUUGAGUAAGACUGGGCCUCCUGUUGAAUAUGGACCUGAAAAUAAAAAAAUAAAAAACUCAAUUUUAAGUUGUUUCAAGGGUUUGUAG